AGAGUUUGAUUAUGGCUCAGGAUGAACGCUAGCGAUAGGCCUAACACAUGCAAGUCGAGGGGCAGCACAUGAAGUAGCAAUACGGAUGGUGGCGACCGGCGCACGGGUGAGUAACGCGUAUGCAACCUGCCUACAACAGGGGAAUAACCCGUUGAGAGACGGACUAGUACCCCAUAACACAGGGAUCCCGCAUGGGAACAUUUGUUAAAGAUUUAUCGGUUGUAGAUGGGCAUGCGUUCCAUUAGCUUGUUGGUGAGGUAACGGCUCACCAAGGCAACGAUGGAUAGGGGAACUGAGAGGUUUAUCCCCCACACUGGUACUGAGACACGGACCAGACUCCUACGGGAGGCAGCAGUGAGGAAUAUUGGUCAAUGGACGCAAGUCUGAACCAGCCACGUCGCGUGAAGGAAGACGGCCCUACGGGUUGUAAACUUCUUUUGUAAGGGAAUAAAGUGUAGUACGUGUACUAUUUUGCAUGUACCUUACGAAUAAGGAUCGGCUAACUCCGUGCCAGCAGCCGCGGUAAUACGGAGGAUCCGAGCGUUAUCCGGAUUUAUUGGGUUUAAAGGGUGCGCAGGCGGGAGAUUAAGUCGGCGGUGAAAUUUUGCAGCUCAACUGUAAGAGUGCCUUCGAAACUGGUUUCCUUGAGUGUGGAUGAAGUAGGCGGAAUUUGUGGUGUAGCGGUGAAAUGCAUAGAUAUCACGAGGAACUCCGAUUGCGCAGGCAGCUUACUAAACCAUAACUGACGCUCAGCACGAAGGCGUGGGGAUCAAACAGGAUUAGAUACCCUGGUAGUC
rnacentral:rRNA from 1 species